rnacentral:rRNA from 2 species
UGGGGAAUAUUGGACAAUGGGCGCAAGCCUGAUCCAGCCAUGCCGCGUGAGUGAUGAAGGCCCUAGGGUUGUAAAGCUCUUUCACCGGGGACGAUAAUGACGGUACCCGGAGAAGAAGCCCCGGCUAACUUCGUGCCAGCAGCCGCGGUAAUACGAAGGGGGCUAGCGUUGUUCGGAAUUACUGGGCGUAAAGCGCACGUAGGCGGACAUUUAAGUCAGGGGUGAAAUCCCGGGGCUCAACCCCGGAACGGCCUUUGAUACUGGGUGUCUUGAGUUCGGAAGAGGUGAGUGGAAUUGCGAGUGUAGAGGUGAAAUUCGUAGAUAUUCGCAGGAACACCAGUGGCGAAGGCGGCUCACUGGUCCGAUACUGACGCUGAGGUGCGAAAGCGUGGGGAGCAAACAGG